UACAGAGGUCUCAAGCGUUGUUCGGAUUCAUUGGGCGUAAAGGGUGCGUAGGUGGCGCUGUAAGUCGGGUGUGAAAUUUCGGAGCUUAACUCCGAAACUGCAUUCGAUACUGCGGUGCUUGAGGACUGGAGAGGAGACUGGAAUUCAUGGUGUAGCAGUGAAAUGCGUAGAGAUCAUGAGGAAGACCAGUGGCAAAGGCGGGUCUCUGGACAGUUCCUGACACUGAGGCACGAAGGCCAGGGGAGCAAACGGG
rnacentral:rRNA from 1 species